rnacentral:rRNA from 1 species
AGUGAACGCUGGCGGUAGGCCUAACACAUGCAAGUCGAACGGCAGCACAGGAGAGCUUGCUCUCUGGGUGGCGAGUGGCGGACGGGUGAGGAAUACAUCGGAAUCUACUCUGUCGUGGGGGAUAACGUAGGGAAACUUACGCUAAUACCGCAUACGACCUACGGGUGAAAGCAGGGGAUCUUCGGACCUUGCGCGAUUGAAUGAGCCGAUGUCGGAUUAGCUAGUUGGCGGGGUAAAGGCCCACCAAGGCGACGAUCCGUAGCUGGUCUGAGAGGAUGAUCAGCCACACUGGAACUGAGACACGGUCCAGACUCCUACGGGAGUCAGCAGUGGGGAAUAUUGGACAAUGGGCGCAAGCCUGAUCCAGCCAUACCGCGUGGGUGGAGAAGGCCUUCGGGUUGUAAAGCCCUUUUGUUGGGAAAGAAAUCCAGCUGGCUAAUACCCGGUUGGGAUGACGGUACCCAAAGAAUAAGCACCGGCUAACUUCGUGCCAGCAGCCGCCGUAA